UACGUAGGGGGCAAGCGUUGUCCGGAAUCAUUGGGCGUAAAGAGCGUGUAGGCGGCCCGGUAAGUCUGUUGUGAAAGUCCAGGGCUCAACCCUGGAAAGCCGAUGGAUACUGCCGGGCUAGAGUUCGGAAGAGGCGAGUGGAAUUCCUGGUGUAGCGGUGGAAUGCGCAGAUAUCAGGAGGAACACCUACGGCGAAGGCAGCUUACUGGGCCGAUACUGACGCUGAGGAGCGAAAGCGUGGGGAGCGAACAGG
rnacentral:rRNA from 1 species